AGAAUUUCAAUGACUUUAUGAGUUAGAAGGAACCGAGAUGAAAGGGGAUCCUCAUAAAAGCUUCAAGUAUCGAAAUAUUAUACUUCCUCUAUAUUCUAUUGUUGAAUUCAUUUGAUCAGCAAUAAAUACAUAAAUAGAUAAAACAAAGUUAAAAUUCUCAAUAUUUAGUGGAGUUUGCCUGUGCAAUCCAUUACAACCAGUUAAAGGAGCCAUCUUUAGUCCAAUGCAGUGCACAUAAACUUAUACAGUUACUAUUAUUAACCAUAGCUCACCGUCGCACGACAAUAUUUUUAAUGAAGGAUUGGCGCUCAAAAGUCACGCCUAGUGGAAACAACGAAGCGAAAAAAUGAAGUAGCUCAAAUAGUCAUAGGUAGGUCAU